CCUACGGGUGGCUGCAGUGGGGAAUAUUGGACAAUGGGCGAAAGCCUGAUCCAGCCAUGCCGCGUGUGUGAAGAAGGCCUUCGGGUUGUAAAGCACUUUCAGUGGGGAAGAAAGCCUUGGGGCUAAUACCCUCGAGGAAGGACAUCACCCACAGAAGAAGCACCGGCUAACUCCGUGCCAGCAGCCGCGGUAAUACGGAGGGUGCGAGCGUUAAUCGGAAUUACUGGGCGUAAAGCGCGCGUAGGCGGUCUGAUAAGCCGGUUGUGAAAGCCCCGGGCUCAACCUGGGAACGGCAUCCGGAACUGUCAGGCUAGAGUGCAGGAGAGGAAGGUAGAAUUCCCGGUGUAGCGGUGAAAUGCGUAGAGAUCGGGAGGAAUACCAGUGGCGAAGGCGGCCUUCUGGACCGACACUGACGCUGAGGUGCGAAAGCGUGGGUAGCAAACAGGAUUAGAUACCCUUGUAGUC
rnacentral:rRNA from 1 species